rnacentral:rRNA from 1 species
UACGUAGGGUGCGAGCGUUGUCCGGAAUUAUUGGGCGUAAAGAGCUCGUAGGCGGCUUGUCGCGUCGACUGUGAAAACCCGCAGCUCAACUGUGGGCUUGCGGCUGAUACGGGCGGGCUGGAGUUCGGUAGGGGAGACUGGAAUUCCUGGUGUAGCGGUGAAAUGCGCAGAUAUCAGGAGGAACACCGAUGGCGAAGGCAGCUCGCUGGGACGGUACUGACGCUGAGGCGCGAAAGCGUGGGGAGCAAACAGG